GAUGAACGCUGGCGGCGUGCCUAAUACAUGCAAGUCGAGCGAACAGACGAGGAGCUUGCUCCUCUGACGUUAGCGGCGGACGGGUGAGUAACACGUGGAUAACCUACCUAUAAGACUGGGAAAACUUCGGGAAACCGGAGCUAAUACCGGAUAAUAUAUUGAACCGCAUGGUUCAAUAGUGAAAGACGGUUUUGCUGUCACUUAUAGAUGGAUCCGCGCCGCAUUAGCUAGUUGGUAAGGUAACAGCUUACCAAGGCAACGAUGCGUAGCCGACCUGAGAGGGUGAUCGGCCACACUGGAACUGAGACACGGUCCAGACUCCUACGGGAGGCAGCAGUAGGGAAUCUUCCGCAAUGGGCGAAAGCCUGACGGAGCAACGCCGCGUGAGUGAUGAAGGUCUUCGGAUCGUAAAACUCUGUUAUUAGGGAAGAACAAAUGUGUAAGUAACUAUGCACGUCUUGACGGUACCUAAUCAGAAAGCCACGGCUAACUACGUG
rnacentral:rRNA from 1 species